rnacentral:rRNA from 1 species
GACAGGGGAUGCAAGUGUUAUCCGGAAUUAUUGGGCGUAAAGCGUCUGUAGGUGGUUUUAAAAGUCUUUUGUUAAAUCUUUAAGCUUAACUUAAAUGCUGCAAAAGAUACUCUAUUACUUGAGUAUAGGAGAGGUAAAGGUAAUUCCCAGUGGAGCGGUGAAAUGCGUAGAUAUUGGGAGGAGCACCAAAGGCGAAGGCACUUUACUGGAAUAUUACUGACACUGAGAGACGAAAGCUAGGGGAGCAAACGGG